rnacentral:misc_RNA from 1 species
UCCCUUGGCAGCAUCACUAGCCUUCGUCUUCUUUACUCCGCGAACCUUCUUGGCCCUUUUCUUUCUCUCCUUCAGUUGCUUCCUUGACUUCUCUACCUUAGAGUCAAGUCCAUUCUGCACAAAAAGGACACAAAACUUCAAGCAAACAACAUAACAAGGACAAGAAAAUUUACUAUAUGCAUCUACAAAUCAAUCAAACAGAAGAAAAAAUAAGAAAGCAGAUUGCAUACAAGUACAAGAUUAAUUACUCACUCCAACCAUCAGAUGAACAAGGUAUGCAUUAGAUAUAUCAAAAUAUUAUAGAACCUAAAAACACAAUUUUAUUAAAUAUCAAUAACACCAUCAAUUUCACAAAUGGCCAUAAUCCAAAUUGAGCGACUACUUUCACUUUUACAGCAAUACACAUUUGUACAUAAGAUCUCAAUAUCACCCAAAAAUUAAAUAUUUUUAUUUAGGGGGGUAAAAAAGAAAAGGAGAUCAACAAGAUCGAUCAGAUAACGUCAUCACAUGGAUGUGUGAACAUUCCAUCAUCUAUAAAUACAGCUUCCAUGCACAAUAAGCUGAUUAGGCAGUGAUGUGAACAAAAUCCAAGACACCAAAAUGCAGCUAGGGGGAGAGAAAUCUUGGUCUUUUAGCCUCUCACAGUGCCAUUUUAGCCUUUUAGAGUUAGUGCCAUUAUCAAAUAUAUUGGCCACUGAUUGAGUUAAUUUGCUUUUUCAUGCCUUAGUAAAAUACAAAGGCAU